rnacentral:rRNA from 1 species
CCUACGGGUGGCAGCAGUGGGGAAUAUUGCACAAUGGGCGCAAGCCUGAUGCGGCCAUGCCGCGUGUGUGAAGAAGGCCUUCGGGUUGUAAAGCACUUUCAGCGGGGAGGAAGGCGUUAAGGUUAAUAACCUUGGCGAUUGACGUUACCCGCAGAAGAAGCACCGGCUAACUCCGUGCCAGCAGCCGCGGUAAUACGGAGGGUGCAAGCGUUAAUCGGAAUUACUGGGCGUAAAGCGCACGCAGGCGGUCUGUCAAGUCGGAUGUGAAAUCCCCGGGCUCAACCUGGGAACUGCAUUCGAAACUGGCAGGCUAGAGUCUUGUAGAGGGGGGUAGAAUUCCAGGUGUAGCGGUGAAAUGCGUAGAGAUCUGGAGGAAUACCGGUGGCGAAGGCGGCCCCCUGGACAAAGACUGACGCUCAGGUGCGAAAGCGUGGGGAGCAAACAGGAUUAGAUACCCUAGUAGUC